rnacentral:rRNA from 1 species
AGUUGUGGGAACCUUCCACGGUUUCUGCGACGCAGCUAACGCAUUAAGUGCCCCGCCUGGGGAGUACGAUCGCAAGAUUAAAACUCAAAGGAAUUGACGGGGCCCCGCACAAGCAGCGGAGCAUGCGGCUUAAUUCGACGCAGCGCGAAGAACCUUACCAAGGCUUGACAUAUAGGGAAAAGUGGCAGAGAUGUCAUGUCCGCAAGGGCUCUAUACAGGUGGUGCAUGGUUGUCGUCAGCUCGUGUCGUGAGAUGUUGGGUUAAGUCCCGCAACGAGCGCAACCCUCGUUCUGUGUUGCCAGCAUUUAGUUGGGGACUCACAGGAGACUGCCGGGGUUAACUCGGAGGAAGGUGGGGAUGACGUCAAAUCAUCAUGCCCCUUAUGUCUUGGGCUGCACGCAUGCUACAAUGGCCGGUACAGAGGGCUGCAAUACCGUAAGGUGGAGCGAAUCCCAAAAAGCCGGUCUCAGUUCGGAUUGAGGUCUGCAACUCGACCUCAUGAAGUUGGAGUUGCUAGUAAUCGUAGAUCAGCAACGCUACGGUGAUAUACGUUCCCGGGGCUUGUACACACCGCCCGUCACGUCACGAAAGUCGGUAACACCCAAAGUCAGUGCCCAACC